rnacentral:misc_RNA from 1 species
GAUGACAAUAAUCAUGUUCCGAAGUAUCGAUAUAUAGUUAUCUAUAUAUAGCCAAGCUGGACCAGAAACAGGUUGAAGUGCUGCAAAGGAUACAAGCUCAGCCAAAGGUGGAAUGAAGCCGUUGUCACAAUCCAGAGCAGGUGUAUUCUCAGACCAUCUCAAAGAGUUCGCAGUUAAAGUUUGCAACGCAGCGUCCUGAGGAGCCUUCAGCUUUAUUUCCAAGCUAUUCAAACUAUGGAGAGCUUCUUUUAUCUUCAAAACUUUGGAACUUAGUUCUGUAUCACUGUAUGGAGUGUUGUCCAGC